rnacentral:rRNA from 1 species
AGAAUCAACGCUGGCGGCGUGCCUAACACAUGCAAGUCGCACGAGAAAGGGACUUCGGUCCUGAGUACAGUGGCGCACGGGUGAGUAACACGUGAAUCAUCUACCUCCGAGUGGGGAGUAACCUAGAGAAAUCUGGGCUAAUACCGCAUAACACUUACGAGUCAAAGCAGCAAUGCGCUUGGAGAGGAGUUCGCGGCAGAUUAGUUAGUUGGCGGGGUAAUGGCCCACCAAGACGAUGAUCUGUA